rnacentral:tRNA from 1 species
GGGCUAUAGCCAAGUGGUAAGGCAACGGACUUUGACUCCGUCAUUCGUUGGUUCGAAUCCAGCCUAGCCCA